GUAUGAUUGGGACAUUUGGAGAGGAAUGUUCUAAACAAUGUCACUGCGCUGACAACAGAAUAUGUGACAGAUUAACCGGCCAGUGCUCAACACCUGUUUGUAAAAUAGGAUGGAUUGGAACAGCGUGUGACUCAAAAUGUAAAGUUGAUGCUUUCGGUGAAAAUUGUCGUGAGAAAUGCUACUGUGCUGGCAACACAACUUGCACCAUUGAUUAUGGCAUAUGUCCAGAUAACUGCAGGAAGGGUUACUUUGGAACUCAUUGUAAUAAAGUUUGCCCAGAUGGUGCGUUUGGUUCAAACUGUAAAGAUAAAUGUUUUUGUGAUGGGAACGGAACCUGUUCAAAAGACGACGGAAUAUGUCCAGGAACAUGUGUGACCGGUUACAUGGGCGUUCACUGUAAUAUAC